rnacentral:rRNA from 1 species
UACGUAGGGUGCAAGCGUUAUCCGGAAUUAUUGGGCGUAAAGAGCUCGUAGGCGGUUUGUCACGUCUGCUGUGAAAACUGGAGGCUCAACCUCCAGCCUGCAGUGGGUACGGGCAGACUAGAGUGCGGUAGGGGGAGAUUGGAAUUCCUGGUGUAGCGGUGGAAUGCGCAGAUAUCAGGAGGAACACCGAUGGCGAAGGCAGAUCUCUGGGCCGUAACUGACGCUGAGGCGCGAAAGCUAGGGGAGCAAACGGG